CAAGAAUUAGUUUUAUAUUAAAAUUUUAAUUUUGGAGAUUAAAGAUAAAUAGGGUUAUUUAUUCUUGA
rnacentral:tRNA from 1 species